UAGAUACAUCAGGAAAACCUCGGGAGGAGCGAGUGUGUGUGUGUGAGUGUGUGUGCGCGCGCGCGCGCUCCUGCGAAUGUGUGCUGGGCUGCGCUUCGCUUCUGCACUGUGAUACCUCCAGUCAGAUGGUUAGGAACCAGUCUCUUUAAAUAAAAAAUUUUAAAGGGUGUUUGAAAAAACAAGGGGAAAGUUCCUUUUAUUGGAGAAAAGGACAGUAUCCAAGUUGGCAUCAGAUCUGGUUCCAGAAGCGUGUCAUAUGGUGCGCUCGCUCCUCCGCCUCUCUCUGCCCUUGGCCCGGGGCUGGGGGUCGAACAGGAGCUGCUGGGAAGCACCCUCCCCUCCAGGCGCUUCAACUUAGACAGGCACGAGGCGGAAGCACAUUGGCAUAUGAAGGACGGAAAGACAAAUGAAGAGCCCUCGAGCCGGCGCGCGCCUUAAACAAGUACUUACAUUAUGCAAAAGCCAAGGCCCUCGACAAGGGGCUGACUGAAGAGGGAGACAGGGAGGGAUUCGGCUCAGAAGAGGCUCCCUAGUUCUCGCCCUGCCAAUUUCCAGCCCUCCCAUGCCCACCCAUCCGACGCCCUCUCAUCCUCUCCCGGGUACCAAAUGCUUUGCGCAGGUGGGAGCCUCUAGCCCGCAGAGCCGGGAGCUGAGGGGGCGUGGCCCGCGCUAACAUCGGGGGCGGGGCCGGGGUGGGGCUUAGUGGGGGGCGGGGCGCUGCUGGAGGGGGCGGGGCGAGUACCGAAGAAAGACGGUAACGUUACGGGCGACUUUGCUUUUCACCCCUCACUGCUUUCUAGAGUCUGCCUUUUGAUCACAGUGUUAACAACUGUGAUCUAUUACCUUCGAGUUUAUUGUAAAGUCACUGCUUUGGGAGGAUCUGUUCGAGGCACCCACCUUCUCAAUGCUGUGACAGCAGGCCCAGCAGCCUGGGCUGCUUCCCCGGGUGAUGCGUGCUGUCUUUGGAAGAUUAGCAGCUCAUCUGGGGCUCCCGAGAAUCCCGGGAGAUAGCUAGGGCAGGAGCUGUUGUCCCAAAAUGCUUCUCUCUUCCCAUCUCCACGCAACAACCUGGGAGAUGAGGAAUCUGAGGCUUGCCCAAGAUUACAUGGUGCCUAAAAGACAUCCCUAGGACUUGCACCCCGGUCUCCUGCCACGGAAUUCCAACUUUCCCUACUCUGCCAGGCUGCAUCUGGACAGGAACUUUCAAGAGAGGGGCUGAAGAUGCAAAUGUCCCUUCAGGGAUUCUGGCUGCUAAUGUGAGGCAGAGAAGCUAAAAUAGGAGGCUCUGCUUUUCCACGGCAAUCCUCUUGGAGCCAGAAAUGAACACCGCACAUGGACUGCUGGGUGCCCGUAUGCGUUCUGCAUGUUUAAUGUGAGGUGCCGCAUGCGAAGGUGUCUUGCACCACCCAGACCUUCCUGGAGACAGCGGCUCCUUUCCAGGGCUGCUGGGAGCUGCUGGGAGGUGACAGUGGCCAGAGCUGGUCAACUGCAGGGGCUUCCUGGACAGAAAAAGCAUCCUUGUUGAUCUCGGCCCCUCUCGCAGGCCACCCCUCACUGUAUCAGAUAUUUCUCAGUAUAGGCUCUACCAAUGUUACCUCGUUUCACUUGAAUGGCAGUCCUGUGGGGGUUAUUGUCACCCCAGAACCUGUGAAUGUGACCUUUUCUAGAAAUAAGGUCUUUGCAGAUAUAAUUGAGAAUCUCAAGACGAGAUCAUCCUGGAUCCCUAACCCCAACGCCAAGUGUCCUUAUAAGAGAAAGGCAGAGGAGGAUUUGAGACACCCAUGUGAAGACGGAGGCAGAGACUGGAGUGAUGCAGCCACCAGCCAAAGACACCUGGAGCCUGGGCCGCUGGAGAGGCCGGGAGGGACCCUCCCCCGGAACCUUCGGAGGGAGUGUGGCCUUGCCGACGUCUUGAUUUUGGACUUCCACUUUCAGAACCGUGAGAAAAUCCAUUUCUAUUGUUGAAAGCCACAUAGUUUGUGGUCAUUUGUUACGACUGCCCCAGGAAACGAAUAUAUCCUGUAAAGGGAUCAUUUUGAGAAGGAAGAAAAGUGUUGGUUGCGAGAUGACCCAGGUAGCAGGUAUUACGAUUCGCCAGAGCAGACCCUCCCAGGCCCAGUCAGGAGGACACAAGCCAGCUCUUUGUGGGAAACGCUGGAACAAAUGCAGUGGGAUCCUCUGACCGCAAACUUCCAGCUGUUAACAAAGACAAUCGAUAAGUCAGCAGGCGACAGGCAGUCAAGUGGCUCCAGGUGCCUUCAUGGGAAGGGUGUCAUCGGCCCCAGGUUUAUUCCUUAAUGUCCACGAACUCCUCGAUCCUUCCUUCUUCCACAAACACGGACCGUGUGUGUGCUCUGGGGGCGCCCCUGUGCCGGGCUCUGAAGAGGGGUACGACGCAGCCCCAUCUCCGGGGGACUCAGAAUCCAGUAGGGGAGCAGUAAUGCCAGCCCCAUGCUUCCAGGCAGUGCUGACGUUCACUGGGAUGCCCUGAUACAGCGACACUGCGAAAAUGGUGGAAGUCUGCUGUUGUAAGUAGCUGCUGACUCGAACUCCUAAGUACCACCUGCCACCUUGGCUCUGCCAGCCUCUCCCCUCCCAGGACCCCAGAGACCUCUCCAUGAUCCAGUAACUAGAGGGAUAAUGGUGCCCUGGUACAGCAGAGGGGGCCUCCAGCAUCCUACUACUGCGCUACAGCCAGGAUCUGUCCUGAUUGGUCAAUGCCCCUGCUGUCCUGAGUGUCACAGAUUUUGUGUAUCAUCACUGACUAGACUUCAGUGCCAAGAGUGUGAGAGGCUGGCUUUGAACCUGAGCAUCCUAGCUAUUUAACGCCGGUUAGUCAUCUUGAAAUUGCAUGCCUUAAGCACAAGGAAGAUGAGCGAGGAUGGACCAGUUCACUCAUGUCAUGCCUGCAAAUUGGCUCAAAGAUGUCACUGGUUCCCACAAGGGCACUGGAAAGGGGCUAGGGAGAGCUCUGGGACCCAGACCAGUAAACAGAAUGGUCAGG
rnacentral:lncRNA from 1 species